AUUGAACGCUGGCGGCAGGCCUAACACAUGCAAGUCGAACGAGUGGCGGACGGGUGAGUUAUGUCUGGGAAUCUGCCCGAUGGCGGGGGGUAUCUACUGGAAACGGUAGCUAAUACCGUAUCCUAUCGGAUGUGCCCAGAUGGGAUUAGCUAGUAGGUGGGGUAACGGCUCACCUAGGCGACGAUCCCUAGCUGGUCUGAGAGGAUGACCAGCAACACUGGAACUGAGACACGGUCCAGACGCCUACGGGAGGCAGAAGUGGGGAAUAUUGCACAAUGGGCGCAAGCCUGAUGCAGCCAUGCCGCGUGUAUGAAGAAGGCCUUCGGGUUGUAAAGUACUUGCAGCGAGGAGGCGUUACUCGCAGAAGAAGCACCGGCUAACUCCGUGCCAGCAGCCGCGGUAAUAC
rnacentral:rRNA from 1 species